rnacentral:rRNA from 1 species
GAUGAACGCUGGCGGCGUGCCUAACACAUGCAAGUCGAACGGAAAGGCCCUGCUCUUGUUGGGUGCUCGUUUGGGGAAAGGGUGUGUAAAACGUGUGGAAACCGCCCCUGUCUGUGGGGUAAAUUUUGGAAAAUGGGGCGAAUAUACGGGAGGAACUCUUGCCUCACGUGGGGGGGUGGUAAAAUUCGGCGUUUGGGGGUGGUCUCGCGGGUUAUUAGCUUGUUUGGGGGGUUGUUGAGUACCAAGGCUUUGACGGGUAGCCGGCAUGGGAGGGUGACCGGCCACAUUGGGACUGAGAUACGGCCCAGACUCCUACGGGAGGCAGCAGUGGGGAAUAUUGCACAAUGGGCGGAAGCCUGAUGCAGCAACGCCGCGUGCGGGAUGACGGCCUUCGGGUUGUAAACCGCUUUCGCCUGUGACGAAGCGUGAGUGACGGUAAUGGGUAAAGAAGCACCGGCUAACUACGUG